rnacentral:rRNA from 1 species
UACCAGCUCUCCGAGUGGUGUGGAUGUUUAUUGGGCCUAAAGCAUCCGUAGCUGGCUGGGCAAGUCCCCUGUUAAAUCCACCGAUUUAAUCGUUGGUGUGGCGGGGGAUACUGUUCGGCUAGGGGACGGGAGAGGCCGACGGUAUUUUCGGGGUAGGGGUGAAAUCCUAUAAUCCCGGGAAGACCACCAGUGGCGAAGGCUGUCGGCUAGAACGCGCCCGACGGUGAGGGAUGAAAGCUGGGGGAGCGAACCGGAUUAGAUACCCGGGUAGUCCCAGCUGUAAACGAUGCAGGCUAGGUGUUUGGGCGGCCACGUGCCGCUCUAGUGCCGCAGAAAAGUCGUUAAGCCUGCCGCCUGGGGAGUACGGCCGCAAGGCUGAAACUUAAAGGAAUUGGCGGGGAGCACCACAAGGGGUGAAGCUUGCGGUUU